CGAAAGUCUGAUGGAGCAACGCCGCGUGAGUGAAGAAGGGUUUCGGCUCGUAAAACUCUGUUGUUAAAGAAGAACAUAUCUGAGAGUAACUGUUCAGGUAUUGACGGUAUUUAACCAGAAAGCCACGGCUAACUACGUGCCAGCAGCCGCGGUAAUACGUAGGUGGCAAGCGUUGUCCGGAUUUAUUGGGCGUAAAGCGAGCGCAGGCGGUUUUUUAAGUCUGAUGUGAAAGCCUUCGGCUCAACCGAAGAAGUGCAUCGGAAACUGGGAAACUUGAGUGCAGAAGAGGACAGUGGAACUCCAUGUGUAGCGGUGAAAUGCGUAGAUAUAUGGAAGAACACCAGUGGCGAAGGCGGCUGUCUGGUCUGUAACUGACGCUGAGGCUCGAAAGUAUGGGUAGCAAACAGGAUUAGAUACCCUGGUAG
rnacentral:rRNA from 1 species